CCAGCCGCAGAGCCUAUGUUCUGAACUGCUAACCUCCCCAUGUGCUAAUGUGAGCACAUGUAAGGCAAAUAAAAAUUAUUCCAAGUGACAUGAUUCAGAUUAUAUGAUAGACUCUGGACUUCUUUGUUCAUCCACCCACUUCUGUUCAAGAAUGUAUGUUUGGC